GCUCAACGUGUCUUUGAGUUAAAAGAUGUCUAAAGUUUAAAAUACGGCUAAAAGACAUUAUUAACAAAACCUAAACAGAAAAUUUAAAGUUUCUUAAGAAAGGAAAAAAAAUACAGUUAAAAUAAAUAUUUAUUCUCUUCAGUUGUUUCAUCCUAAUUAAAGUGUCCAAAUAUUUUGAUCCAUUAUUGACUUUAUUAGCUGAAGUUGUUAACAUGUUGUUAGCAUGAUCAGGAAGUGGAUAGAGUUCAGGUGAAUGACCUCUGACCCCAGGCUGUGUUCACAUACUGACAUUUUCCUGUUGCUGUUUCUGGAUAAAAUCUGAACGAAUCUCAGCCUGGAGGAGCAACUGGAGGCUGGCAGCCCGCCAGGCUGAUGAAGGCCUGGAGAACCUCCCAGCUGCUGUUUCUCAACCUCUGGGCCGGUUUCCAGAGGGAAGACAGACGUCCUCACAGCAGGACGGUCGUCCGGGCGUCCUGGACUUACGCAAGACAAGUGAUGGACAGACGGAGACCUCCUGACCCCUGAGUGACCUCUAACCCGGCCCUGAUGUUCUGCAGCGGGUCGGUGCGAUGUAUCCAAAGACCAGAAACAGCUCAGAAAGACUUUAAGUGUCCAACUCGUCACUGUGAACCACAGCAUCAACUCAGGACUUUGACUAGGCCGUUGUGCUCUGC